rnacentral:rRNA from 1 species
CGCAAUGGGCGAAAGCCUGAUGGAGCAACGCCGCGUGCAGGAUGAAGGCCCUCGGGUCGUAAACUGCUUUUAUAAGCGAAGAAUUUGACGGUAACUUAUGAAUAAGCACCGGCUAACUACGUGCCAGCAGCCGCGGUCAUACGUAGGGUGCAAGCAUUAUCCGGAGUGACUGGGCGUAAAGAGUUGCGUAGGUGGUUUGUUAAGUGAAUGGUGAAAUCUGGGGGCUCAACCUCACAGACUAUUAUUCAAACUGACAAACUCGAGAAUGGUAGAGGUAACUGGAAUUUCUUGUGUAGGAGUGAAAUCCGUAGAUAUAAGAAGGAACACCAAUGGCGUAGGCAGGUUACUGGACCAUUUCCUCUACUUUUGAGGCCCGUAACAGC